rnacentral:rRNA from 1 species
GACGAACGCUGGCGGCGUGCCUAACACAUGCAAGUCGAACGGAAACGCCCUGCUUUUGUGGGCUGCUCGAGUGGCGAUCGGGUGAGUAACACGUGUGUAACCUGCUCUUGACUUUGGGAUAACUUCAGGAAACUGGGGUUACUACCGGAUAGGAGCUCCUGCUGCAUGGAGGGGGGGGGAAAGUUUCGGCGGUUGGGGAUGGACUCGCGGCUGAUCAGCUUGUUGGUGGGGUAGUGGCUUACCAAGGCUGUGACGGGUAGCCGACCUGGGAGGGUGACCGGCCACAUUAGGACUGAGGUACGGACCAGACUCGUACGGGAGGCAGCAGUGGGAAGUAUUACACAGUGGGCGGGAGCCUGAGGCAGCAACGCCGCGUGCGGGAUGACGGCCUGCGGGUUGUAAACCGCUUUCGCCUGUGACGACGCGUGAGUGACGGUACUGGGUAAAGAAGCACCGGCUAACUACGUG